rnacentral:misc_RNA from 1 species
UUUCCGUAGGUGAACCUGCGGAAGGAUCAUUACCGUACAUACUAUGAGGAGCAUGCGAGGACUGUCGCUGAUCUAGCCUCCGUGCACGCCCGAGUGUGUCCUCUUGCGUAAUAAUCCACCACACCCUUUCUGCACCCCCGCUUGGUCACCCUCCUGUAUCAUCUCGGAGAGGGGCACGCGUUUUCACACAAACCCCCCUUUUAAAAGUGUAAAAUGACCACAUCUAUGCAAUCAAUACAACUAUCAACAACAGAUCUCUUCGCUUUCGCGUCGAUGAAG